UUACUCUCUAAAAUGAUUUUAAAAUUCCUAAUUUGUGUUUUAUUUCAGAAUCUGUUUGAACAGAGGAGAUGUGUUUCUUUAAUUUUCAUAAAAUUCCAAAAAUUUUCAGAAUGAUAAGCACAGAGUUAAUAAGCUUGUUUGAUUAUUAAAGGGCGAGUGCCCGUGACUUCUGUAGUUGAUGCCUUGCAAUCUUAUCUCCUCUUGCUUCUUCUUAGAGUCUCCGUGGUCCAGGGACCAGGAUUGUACACUCGAGUUAGCGCCAACUAAUAAUCAAGGGAACAUCGAGGUAGGGAUAGCAGUGCAACCUGGUCAUCCAGCCCAUCCCUUUCAUCCUUCAUAUCCCAGGUCCGUAUACAUCCAUCCCAUCCCCUGCAUCCUUCAUAUCCCAGGUCCGUAUACAUCCAUCCCAUCAGCUUCAUGCUUCACAUCCCAGGUCCGUAUACAUCCAUCCCAUCCCCCUUCAUCCUUCACAUCCCAGGUCCCCCUAUAGCCAGCCCAUCCCUUUCAUACUUCACAUCCCAGGUCCGUAUACAUCCAUCCCAUC